UGUAGGUGUGAUGGCUGU
rnacentral:siRNA from 1 species